AACAACAUUCAGUUCUCCACAAGGAACUAAGCUGUUGAGAGGUUUUGGACUAUCUCGGAAGAGCACUUUAAGGGAAGACCUUCAAGGAGAAAAUUUUAGCGCAGAAUAUGAAGUGCUUUGUUUUCUUCUUCAUCUUUUUGGGUCUGGCGAUGUCACUUCCUCAACCUGCUAACCGUGAUCCUGAGGAUCUGGAAAAUCAGAUGGCCGAACUGGAGGAGUCUGGCCGACGUGAGAUGACCUUUGACGCCCCCGCUGGCAAUGUUGGCCAACAGGGAACCAACUCAGGGAAUGUUCCUGUUGGAGAUCAAUGGAACAGGAAACGUCAGAUCUGUCAUUGGCACUGGGGUUGUGUUGGGAAGUAGUUCUGGGAGUGUUGCUGUUGGACAUCAAUGGAACGGAAAACGUCAGAUGUAGUUUGGGGCAACGAUUUCAAUAGAGGUUUCAAUUGAACGGCCGAAAAUGCUUGUAGUGUAGUAAUCGUUUAAUGUGGGUUUACCUAAUGGAAGCAAUAAUUGUAGAAGUAGUAAGAAAAUAAAGGUGUUUGAAAAGCGGU